UCCUGGCUGACAUUAACGGCGGGGCACCCCCUCUCUCCCCAGCAACUUUUACCAAGACUUGUCUCCCUGCGGCCCUUAGGUUUCAGGGUCGCGUUUCAUUCUGAGUGAGACUUGGAGCCUGGAAGUCGGCUGGUUACUGAGGUGCUCGCUCCGGCUCCGGUUCUAAAGUCUGCCUGGGAACCUGACCUCUGGGUCAGAAACUAGUUACAGGAAAGUACCUAAUACCUAAAAUAAGUAUCCCUGUCCAGGACACUGUCUGGCGACCUUUAUAGGUGAGAGCGCAGAGCAGAGCAGAAACCUGGAGAUUACAGAUUUGUCCGUGUUCUUCCCCUCCACAUCUAAGCCUCAAUUCCAGGGAUCCAAGAGCAAAUCCCCCUUUAGGAGCAUCUGGACAGGCACUGUUUUAUACCUACACAUCCAAAAGAGCCACCAGCCAUGUGUUAACAGACAAUUGGUCACUUAAAGUGUGGUGUGUAUGAACGGAGAUGUAAUAGCCAGAGCGGAGAGCAGAACAGGCAGACUGAUGAAGUACACUGCUGAGGGGAGCGGCAGGAGAGGUCUGCGCGCCU